AUUCUGUAGUGACAAUAAUCUUAAAUUAAGCCAUUGGGUGGGGGAAGGAGCCUACACGUCGAUCCUGCUAUUCUUCAAGAUGGUUUAUGUUGUGUGUGGAUCGAAACAUUAUACUCGACAACAUGACGUUUCCACCCCCUGGGAAUUCCCCCGGAUUGGCCAGAAAGCCGCUGAUCAUGGUGUGAUUAGCAGAACAAUGAGUAUACUGGACGAAGUGUGGAGGACGUCGUCUGCAGAGAAUGUGAAAACCUGACAACAUUCCCCACAUUUCGUCUACAGCAAAAGGGUGUUUUUUUUUUCCAUCAACCCAGAGAAGGGCACAAAAGUAGAGAAGACAAACAAAUCCCGUCAUCCUGUGAACCCUACAGUUUUUACCUUGAUUCAGGAACUUUCAGAUCAGGAGUGGCGUGAUGUCGGACUAUGAUUUUAAUAGCAAAAUAGAAUGAUCCAGACACUCUAUGUAGGUAAGAUAGGCAGAUUUAUUUUGACAAAUACGCAUCAAUGUUUUGACUCUCAAUGGAGUCUUUUUCCAUUGGGAGUCAAAACGUUGCUCCGUGUUUGUCCAAAUAAAUUUGCCUAUCUUACCUACCUACAUCUUUCUAUUUUUCUAUUGAUAUUUGGGGACCCUUGGAUGCACCUUGGAGGGUAGAGGAAGAGUGUGGUUCCUCCCUUGCUUUACUGUGAAUAUGGACUUAAGUCAGUAAGAUUUGACAUGCGCCACACUCAUAGCUUGAAGAUUUGUUUCAGCUCAUUAGCUGCCUACUUCUUGAAGCUGAAGAACCAAUAAAAGUUUUAGACAAGA